rnacentral:rRNA from 1 species
GAGUUUGAUCAUGGCUUAGAUUGAACGUUGGCGGCAGGCUUAACACAUGCAAGUCGAACGAGAAAGCACCUUCGGGUGUGAGUAAAGUGGCGGACGGGUGAGUAACGCGUAGGAAUCUACCUAGCAGAGGGGGACAACUCGAGGAAACUCGAGCUAAUACCGCAUAACAUCUAGGGAUCAAAGUGGGGGAUCUUCGGACCUCACGCUACCAGAGGAGCCUGCGUUGGAUUAGCUUGUUGGUGAGGUAAAGGCUCACCAAGGCUACGAUCUAUAGCUGGUCUGAGAGGACGAUCAGCCACACUGGAACUGAGACACGGUCCAGACUCCUACGGGAGGCAGCAGUGGGGAAUCUUGGGCAAUGGGCGCAAGCCUGACCCAGCCAUGCCGCGUGUGUGAAGAAGGCCUUCGGGUUGUAAAGCACUUUCAGUAGCGAAGAAAAGCUCAGGGUUAAUACCCCUGAGUCUUGACGUUAACUACAGAAGAAGCACCGGCUAACUCCGUGCCAGCAGCCGCGGUAAUACGGAGGGUGCGAACGUUAAUCGGAAUUACUGGGCGUAAAGCGCGCGUAGGCGGUUCGACAAGUGGGGUGUGAAAGCCCAGGGCUUAACCUUGGAACUGCAUUCCAAACUGUCGGACUAGAGUAUGGUAGAGGGAGGUAGAAUUUCCUGUGUAAACUAGCCGUUGGGCCCCCUAGGGGUUUGGUGGCGAAGCUAACGCGAUAAGUUCUCCGCCUGGGGAGUACGGCCGCAAGGUUAAAACUCAAAUGAAUUGACGGGGGCCCGCACAAGCGGUGGAGCAUGUUGUUUAAUUCGAUGCAACGCGAAGAACCUUACCACCCCUUGACAUACUCGGAACUUUCUAGAGAUAGAUUGGUGCCUUCGGGAACCGAGAUACAGGUGCUGCAUGGCUGUCGUCAGCUCGUGUCGUGAGAUGUUGGGUUAAGUCCCGUAACGAGCGCAACCCUUAUCCUUAUUUGCCAGCGGGUCAUGCCGGGAACUCUAAGGAGACUGCCGGUGACAAACCGGAGGAAGGCGGGGACGAGGUCAAGUCAUCAUGGCCCUUACGGGGUGGGCUACAAACGUGCUACAAUGGAGGGUACAAAGGGCUGCAAUCCCGCGAGGGUGAGCGAAUCCCAAAAAACCUUUCGUAGUCCGGAUAGGAGUCUGCAACUCGACUCCUUGAAGUCGGAAUCGCUAGUAAUCGCGAAUCAGAAUGUCGCGGUGAAUACGUUCCCGGGCCUUGUACACACCGCCCGUCACGUCAUGGGAGUGGGUUGCACCAGAAGUAGCUAGUCUAACCCUCGGGAAGACGGUUACCACGGUGUGAUUCAUGACUGGGACGAAGUCGUAACAAGGUAGCCGUAGGGGAACCUGCGGCUGG